rnacentral:misc_RNA from 1 species
GAUGAAGAACGUAGCGAAAUGCGAUAAGUAAUGCGAAUUGCAGAAUUCAGUGAGUCAUCGAAUCUUUGAACGCACAUUGCGCCCGCGAGUAUUCUCGCGGGCAUGCCUGUCCGAGCGUCAUUUCAACCCUCAGGGCCCGCCUGCUUCGGCAGGCGCGGCGCUGGUGUUGGGGAUCGGCCUAACCGCCGUCCCCCAAAUACAGUGGCGGUCUCGCUGCAGCCUCCCCUGCGUAGUAGCAACACUCGCAUGCGGAGCGCGGCGCGGCCACGCCGUAAAACCCCCGACUUUCUGAACGUUGACCUCGGAUCAGGUAGGAAUACCCGCUGAACUUAAGCAUAUCAAUAAGCGGAGGA